rnacentral:rRNA from 1 species
CAGCAGCCGCGGUAAUACGUAGGGUGCGAGCGUUAAUCGGAAUUACUGGGCGUAAAGCGUGCGCAGGCGGUUGUGUAAGACAGGUGUGAAAUCCCCGGGCUCAACCUGGGAAUGGCGCUUGUGACUGCAAAGCUAGAGUGCGGCAGAGGGGGAUGGAAUUCCGCGUGUAGCAGUGAAAUGCGUAGAUAUGCGGAGGAACACCGAUGGCGAAGGCAAUCCCCUGGGCCUGCACUGACGCUCAUGCACGAAAGCGUGGGGAGCAAACAGGAUUAGAUACCCGAGUAGUCCCUGUCUCUUAUAC